UACGUAGGGGGCAAGCGUUGUCCGGAUUUAUUGGGCGUAAAGAGCGUGUAGGCGGCCAGAUAGGUCUGUUGUGAAAACUCGAGGCUCAACCUCGAGACGCCGAUGGAAACCCUCCAGCUAGAGUCCGGAAGAGGAGAGUGGAAUUCCUGGUGUAGCGGUGAAAUGCGCAGAUAUCAGGAAGAACACCCGUGGCUAAGGCGGCUCUCUAGUACGGUACUGACGCUGAGACGCGAAAGCGUGGGGAGCGAACAGG
rnacentral:rRNA from 1 species